UCAAUAUAUCUGAUUUUGCAUAGUCUGAAAGCAAAUAAGUCUUUGGUCCAACCCGUGGCAUGGAGUAUGCUGUUAUCUGAUCAGUUGAUAAUCACAAGCAUACUAUUUACGCGUAUCAGUGUUGAAAAUAAUGUAAUCACUCCAGAUUUGGUUCUUAUUUCGGGUGAUGGUGAGCUCGAAAUCUGGAGCUGGUAUUCGAAGUUUAAGAACAGCGCUAGCGAAGAUUGCCCGUCUUGCCAAAGUCUAAUAUGCAGCAUCAGAUUGUUCGCCUAUACAGAUUGAGCAGGGCGCGCCGAAAUGGUUUGGCAAUGCCUGUCUCGAUUAGCAGGACGACAUUGAGUUGACAUUUGGCGAGUUACAUGAGAAUUAGUUUUGUAGAUUCUAGUUUAUUUCUUACAUCUUAAGUUUUUAAAUUGAAGGUUACAUUUGAUUGCAGACAUUUUAAGAUA